UUCCCAGACGAUAAAACAAGAAAAGAGAGGUGACCUGGGUGGGAAUAAGGGUGAUGGUUUGGGGUCAGCAUGGUGUUGGUAGUGUGAUGGUUUGGGGUCAGCAUGGUGGUGGUAGUUGUGAUGGUUUGGGGUCAGCAUGGUGUUGGUAGUGUGAUGGUUUGGGGUCCAGCAUGGUGGUGGUAGUGUGAUGAUGUUUGGGGUCAGCAUGUUUGGGGUCAAGCAUGGUGGUGGUAGUGUGAUGGUUUGGGGUCAGCAUGGUGUUGGUAGUGUGAUGGUUUGGGGUCAGCAUGGUGAAUGGUGGUGUGAUGGUUUGGGGUCAGCAUGGUGGUGGUAGUGUGAUGGUUUGGGGUCAGCAUGGUGGUGGUGGUAGUGUGAUGGUUUGGGGUCAGCAUGGUGGUGGUAGUGUGAUGGUUUGGGGUCAGCAUGGUGGUGGUACUGUGAUGGUUUGGGGUCCAGCAUUGUGGUGGUAGUGUGAUGGUUUGGGGUCCAGCAUGGUGGUGGUAGUGUGAUGGUUUGGGGUCAACAUGGUGGUGGUGGUAGUGUGAUGGUUUGGGGUCAGCAUGGUGGUGGUAGUGUGAUGGUUUGGGGUCAGCAUGGUGGUGGUGGUAGUGUGAUGGUUUGGGGUCAGCAUGGUGGUGGUAGUGUGAUGGUUUGGGGUCCAGCAUGGUGGUGGUAGUGUGAUGGUUUGGGGUCCAGCAUGGUGGUGGUAGUGUGAUGGUUUGGGGUCCAGCAUGGUGGUGGCAGUGUGAUGGUUUGGGGUCAGCAUGGUGGUGGUAGUGUGAUGGUUUUGGG
ensembl:lncRNA